CACCGCGGCCAUACCAGUGAGCCCAAGUGGAUAGCCAACAGCGUAAAGCGUGGUUAAGGAUCAACAAUACUAAAGUAAAACCCCCUCAGAGCCGUAGUACGCCCCGACAGGGUGAAACCCCACCACGAAAGUGACUUUAAAUUAACCUGAGCCCACGAAAGCUGAGAAA
rnacentral:rRNA from 1 species